UUUAAAACAAACACUCACUAGUGUAAAUGUAACCUAACAGAUAUGUAGAUGUGUAAACUGAAGACUAUUUGAGCUUUAUUAAAACUAUUUGCACUGAUUUAUUGUGUUG